AUGGCUGCUGUAGUAACGAGCCUUCAUCACCACCUUCUCUCCAUCUCCAUUUGUCUCUGCUACUCACUGUCGUUGCUAGUCAGUGGACCUCUGGGCCUAGCUACCACGCUCUCCUUGAGCUUCAACUUCUCCAGUUCUAGCUCCGGCGACCUCUGCGACACGGAGCUCAGGUGCGAGCGUGAUACACGCAUGGGUUCCGGCGCCAUCGAGCUAACCAAGAACGAGAUCAAAGCCAACUUCUUCAGCAUCGGCCGGGCUUCCUAUGCGCGCCCGGUGCCGCUCUGGGACAAUGCCACGGGCGAGGUGGCCAGCUUCUCCUCCAACUUCACAUUCCAGAUCAGGCUAAAAAACGAGACGGACGACCGGCUUCGUCUCUGUAACUUAAGCUUCACGCCCAACGACGGUGUGGCUGAUGGUAUGUCUUUCUUCCUGGCGCACUAUCCGUCCAGGCUUCCUCCCAACAGCCACGAAGGGAACCUCGCUCUCUUCAAUGACAGCAACAACUUGAACGCCAUUGGCGACGACCGUGUCGUCGAGGUGGAGUUCGACACCUUUCGCAGCGCCUGGGACCACAACGACAACCACGUCGGCAUAGACGUGAACUCCAUCAACUCCAGGGCCUACACCAACGUGGCGAAGCGCCUGGUCUCCGACGAUAACAACACCAUGACUGCCGAGAUCAGCUACGACAACCGCACAGGUGUCCUGGUCGCCCGUCUCCACAUAGACGGCGAUGAGCCGCUUUACAACGUAAGCACGUCGGUGGACAUGAAGAAGGAAUUGCCCGAGAAAGUUGCAGUCGGCUUUGCUGCACCAACUGGCAUGUGCGUCGAGCUGCAUCAAGUGUUGUCUUGGUCGUUUAACUCCACUCUAGAUGAUGUCACAAUGGCUACUAGUCCGCGACAGUGGCGACUAGUGCCCGUGCUAGUGCCUUCCACAGUAGUAGCAUUUCUCGUGUUGCUCUGCGUCGCCGCCUUCGUAGUCCAUCGACGACGCGUGUGGGAGAGGGUAGAUGAUUCCGACGACGAAGCACGUGAGCAAGCUGAGUUUGAGAGAGGAGUAGGCCCUAGAAGGUACCGCUACCGUGAGCUGGCCGCCGCCACCAAGGACUUUGCAGAGGAGGGGAAACUCGGGCAAGGGGGCUUCGGUAAUGUCUACCGAGGCGACAACCUUAGCGACCAUGACCGCCCGGUGGCCAUCAAGAUGUUGUCUGCGGAAUCAUCUUCGCAGGGGAGGAAAGAGUUUGAGUCGGAGGUGAAGAUCAUAAGUCGCCUGUGGCACCGGAACCUUGUGCACUUGCUAGGCUGGUCCGACAGCCGCAAGGGGCUCCUGCUCAUCUACGAGCUCGUUCCUGAAGGCAGCCUUGAGCGACACAUAUACAGCACUAGCCGUGUCCUCACGUGGUCAGAGAGGUACAAGAUCACCCUUGGUCUAGGAUCUGCACUACGCUAUCUCCACACAGAGUGGGAUCAAUGUGUGCUGCAUGGCGACAUCAAACCCAGCAACAUACUACUUGACUCAUCAUGCAACACCAAGCUUGCGGAUUUCGGGCUGGCGAGGCUCGUGGAGCAUGGAGCAGGGCCACAGACCACCAAGGUCAUCAUGGGCACCGCUGGGUACAUAGACCCGGAGUUCAUCCGCACCCGUCGGCCGAGCGCCGAAGCCGACGUCUACAGCUUUGGUAUUGUCUUGUUGGAGGUCGUGUCCGGUCGGCACCCGGACAUGGAAAUGGAGCAAUCAGGCGACAAAUUCAUUCCGUUACUAAGGUGGAUCUGGGAUCUG
rnacentral:rRNA from 1 species